rnacentral:rRNA from 1 species
ACACGACUACAUUAGAUACCCCGGUAGUCCUAGCCGUAAACGAUACUCGCUAGGUGUCGGCCACGGUGCGACCGUUGUCGGUGCCGUAGGGAAGCCGUGAAGCGAGCCACCUGGGAAGUACGGCCGCAAGGCUGAAACUUAAAGGAAUUGGCGGGGGAGCACCACAACGGGUGGAGCUUGCGGUUUAAUUGGAUUCAACGCCGGAAAUCUUACCGGGACCGACAGCAACAUGAAGGCCAGGCUGAAGACUUUGCCGGAUUGGCUG